CCGGAGACUGUUAUUUUGCUAGUUCUGGGCUCAGAAAAGGCAGCUUGGGCAGCAACUAUCUGAGCGAGGAUGGAAGGAGAGGGCGGCUCCCACAAAACAGAUGCGACAAGGAGAGUCAUGCAGGUACAGAGAGAUCAACUGAACCAUGCUUUAAGCAAGGAAAUUCUUCUCAAUCUCAGAUCUAGAACUGGAAGAGUUCUCAAAGGCUCCCCAGUCCAUUUUCCAGAGAGUGAAAAUGAGGUGAGGUGAUUUGCCCACAUAGAACGUAAUGGGGUGAAGUGGGGAAUGAGACCUGGGUGGGAAGGCUGGAGUUGCAGCUAUU
rnacentral:lncRNA from 1 species